ensembl:lncRNA
UAUAAAUAUACAAGUAUAAAUAUACAAGUAUAAAUGUACAAAUAUAAAUGCACAAAUAUAAAUGUACAAAUAUAAGUAUAAAUACAUAUGUACGUACGUGUGUACCCCACUUUGCUUAUAUAGGAAGAAACACUCUCCAUUUAUGACGAUAUAAAAUUAAAUAUAAAAAAAAAAGACAAAAAUUAAUAGUAAAAUCUAUUAUGAUUGAAUAUUGUUCAUGUUUAACUGAAAAAGAAACAAACAACUUUUUUAAAUUAGUUUUAAAAAAAAAAAAGAAUUCAAAGAUGUAUUUUAUAUGAAGAACACACAAGAAGGUGUUGAAAAAAACGUAUAACAACGUGAGCAAACAAAAUGAGACAAUAACAAAAAAAAGUAAUGAAAAAAAAAUGGAUAUACGAGUGGUAAUGUCGAUUCUGAUGAAGAUAUUGACAGUAUUAUCGAAUGUAGUGAUUGUGAAGAAUUUAGUGGAUACGAAGUAAUUGGAGCAGAUAAAACAGUCGGUAUGAGUAAAGUGAGCAAUACAAACUACAAACAUCUUAUGAGCAACAAAUUUAUAUACAAAUACAACCAUAUGAACAACUGCAACGAUGAUAUGAUAAUGUUUAAAUGUUACACAUUGGAUAAAUUAAAAAAAUGUAAGUAUGGUUAUAUGUGUUGAUCCUUUUUAUCAAUUAAAAAAAUAUAUUUUAAAAAAAUUAAAAAAUAAAAAUAAAAAACAUAUAUAUAUAUAAAAUAUGAUAAAAUGUAUAAAAUAAUGUCUAUAUACCCUGAGGAAGUUCAGAGUGAAAAACAAAAAAAUGAUACAACACCACAUAAUAAUAAUGAUAAUAAUAAUAAUGAUAAUAAUGAUAAUAAUAAUAUGCCACAAAAAUCGAAUGCUUUUUUUGACAAAAUUAAACACUACAUAAACAAUGAUUAUUACUUCGUAUUUAAUAAUAUAGAAAAUAAAAUGUACCAGAAAAUAAACAAAGUAGUAAAUGGUUCUGUACAUACUAGAACAAGCACAAUAUACAUAUUUGUCGAAAAAUUAAAACAUAUAAAAUUUAAACACAUGUCGCAAAAACAUAAAAUUGUUUAUUGUGAUUAUAAAAAAGAAAACAUUAUUAAUGUGUUUUAUUAUUAUUACAAUAAAAUAUAUAACAAAAAUGUGAACUUACCGUUUGAAGCUGACGAGAAAGACGUCUAUCAUCAGCAGGUCAUUAAUGUCUUAAAUGCUGUGUUUAAUGGAGAAUCGAAUUUAGUAGAGGCAAAAGAAAAAGUAUUUGCUGCAAAAGAGGUUUACCAAAAAGAGAAAAAGGAAAAAAAGGAGAAAAUGGAAAAAAAAGGAGAAAAUGGAAAAAAAGGAGAAAAUGGAAAAAAAGGAGAAAAUAGAAAAAAUGGAGAAAAAAGAAGUAUUAACAAAGAAUAGUACUACCAUAUACAACGAGAACAUACACUUGUUAUAUAUAUACAUAUUUUAUUUAUUAAAAGAACAAUUAAAGAUAGUAAAAAAAAUUAUACUAUUUCUAAUUGGUUAUUUUUAAAAAUUGUAAAAAAGUAUUACCAAAUGUUUGAUGUAAGUAAAGACUAUUCUGAAAGUAAUUUGUUAAAUUUUUUUUAUUUUUAUAUUUUAUCUUUUAUAGAUAGUAAACAUAUUUUUGUUUUUAAUUUCAUAUUAAGCAUUUAUUUGGAUGUAUUUAUUUAUAAAUGUAUAAAGAUGAAGGAUGUUUUUUUAUUUUUUAAAAAUUACGACAAAAGGAAUGAGAAGAAUUUUUUUCAAAAUAUGCACUAUGAACAAGGUGAUGGAAAAACAAAAAAAGCGAAAAAUGAUAUAAGACAUGGUGAAAAAUAUAACAGUGAAAACGAUGGAAAAGACGACGGAAAAAACGACGAAACAGAAUUAACAAGUUUGUACGAUAAUAUCAAUAUUUUUACAGCUAAAAGAUGUUAUACAAAUUCAGAAAAACGAAUAGCAAUAGAAAAUGUUCCAAACAAAGUAGAAAAUAA